rnacentral:lncRNA from 1 species
CCAGCUAUGAGGAGUUCACCCACAAGGACGGGGUCUGGAACCUGCAGAAUGAGGUUACUAAGGAGCGCACAGCUCAGUGUUUCCUGCGUGUGGACGAUGAGUCAAUGCAGCGCUUCCACAACCGCGUGCGUCAGAUUCUCAUGGCCUCUGGGUCCACCACCUUCACCAAGGUACAGGGCCGUCAUGCCCAGCUUCCCUCUUGUCCUCUGCUGUCCUCUGCUCAUUUCACACCCCUUUCACUUCGUCCCCUGCUGGCUGCUUCCUUCUCUUCUUUGCUUAGUGUGCCAGUUUCCAUGCUCUGUGCCAUAGU